AGCUGCAAGGUGGCACCAAGUACUGUCCUCUGUCCUCCACUCCUGCAGGCAGGCCAGCUUCUUUGUCUGCAGUGUGUUUGGGAGCACAUUCACACAUCAAUGCUCCCCCAACACACCCUGCAUCAGAAGACAGAGAACUCAAGGUGUUUGCACUGUGGACAGUGGUGCCUUUGGGGAACCUGCACAUCCCACAACCUAAAGUAUCUUAGAGGGCGAAGACAAGUCUCACUAAAGGCUCACAGGAUUUUGGCAAAACUGUUUCCAGGAAAGAAGAUGGAUACAUAUGGGCAUCACUGUGAGAUCUCCCCUUGUUCCUGGAAUUAUUUAAGAGCUUUGCUGUGUCUGAGCAAGGUGCUCAUGAAGUAUCAAGGGCCACAUUCUACCAUGUGAACCUGAAGAAGGGUGAUAAUACUGCAGCUGUGUGGCAGCUUGUCUCCGAGUGGAAGGAUUAUUACCACCGCCUUUUGACGGGAUGAAUCACCCAGGACGGCUUGAAUGGCUAAAGGGUAGACUUUGAUGUUAUGUCGCUUCAUUUACCCUUAUGACUAAAUGAUUAUUGAUUUUAUAUUUUUAAGCUCUUGAAAUGUGAAAAUAACUCGGUGGAGAAGGUCGGCUGUGUUAGUUUUAUUAAUUUAUUUCUGCAGGGCAUAAUUCACUUUGGG
rnacentral:lncRNA from 1 species